AUUGAACGCUGGCGGCAUGCUUUACACAUGCAAGUCGAACGGCCGCGCGGGCUUCGGCCUGGCGGCGAGUGGCGAACGGGUGAGUAAUGCAUCGGAACGUGCCCAGUAGUGGGGGAUAGCCCGGCGAAAGCCGGAUUAAUACCGCAUACGACCUGAGGGUGAAAGCGGGGGACCGAAAGGCCUCGCGCUAUUGUAGCGGCCGAUGUCGGAUUAGCUAGUUGGUGGGGUAAAGGCUUACCAAGGCGACGAUCCGUAGCUGGUCUGAGAGGACGACCAGCCACACUGGGACUGAGACACGGCCCAGACUCCUACGGGAGGCAGCAGUGGGGAAUUUUGGACAAUGGGGGCAACCCUGAUCCAGCCAUGCCGCGUGCGGGAAGAAGGCCUUCGGGUUGUAAACCGCUUUUGUUCGGGAAGAAAUCCUCUGGGCUAAUACCCCGGGGGGAUGACGGUACCGGAAGAAUAAGCACCGGCUAACUACGUG
rnacentral:rRNA from 1 species